CAGCCGCCACGGGAAUACGAAGGGUGCAAGCGUUAAUCGGAAUUACUGGGCGUAAAGCGUGCGUAGGCGGUGAGUUAAGUCUGCUGUGAAAUCCCCGGGCUCAACCUGGGAAUGGCAGUGGAUACUGGCUCGCUAGAGUGUGUCAGAGGGGGGUGGAAUUCCACGUGUAGCAGUGAAAUGCGUAGAGAUGUGGAGGAACACCGAUGGCGAAGGCAGCCCCCUGGGCCAAUACUGACGCUCAUGCACGAAAGCGUGGGGAGCAAACAGGAUUAGAUACCCCCGUAGUCCCUGUCUCUUAUAC
rnacentral:rRNA from 1 species